CUGUGUCCGUCAUCGCUGCCAUCAUCAUCAUCAUCGGCCUCGUGGCAGUCGGUGUCUGGAAGCUCCGAUCCGGGAAGAGGGAGGGGAAUGGAUACGACCCCGCGCCCACCAGAAUCACGGCCUGAGCGAUCCCAGAGCUGGAUCCACCCCUUCCCUC